rnacentral:misc_RNA from 1 species
ACUUCAAUUUCAUGAAUAAUUAAUGUUGUCAGAGUUUUAGAGAUACAAUCGUGUUAAUUGUAAAUAAUUACCUAUAGCUGUGUUAAAAUUAUAUCACAAAAUUUUGGGAGCGUCUGAGUGGUUGUUUUUGUAGUACUUAUCUUAUGUUUCUCUAACUUCAAGAUUGUUCUUGGGAAUUGGUGCAGUAUAUGACGUAACAAGACGAGAA